rnacentral:rRNA from 1 species
ACGAACGCCGGCGGCAUGCCUAACACAUGCAAGUCGAACGGGCAGGGGCAACCCUGUCAGUGGCGGACGGGUGAGUAACGCGUGGGGACCUGCCUCGAAGUUCGGAAUAACCGCGGGAAAACUGCGGCUAAUACCGGAUGUGGCCUGAGGGCCAAAGGGGGAAAACUCGCUUCGAGAGGGGCCCGCGUCCGAUUAGCUAGUUGGCGGGGUAACGGGCCCCACCAAGGCGACGAUCGGUAAGCUGGUCUGAGAGGAUGAUCAGCCACACUGGGACUGAGACCACGGCCCAGACUCCUACGGGAGGCAGCAAGUGGGGAAUAUUGGACAAUGGGGGCAACCCUGAUCCAGCAAUGCCGCGUGAGUGAUGAAGGCCUUCGGGUUGUAAGGCUCUUUUGGCGGGGACGAUGAUGACGGUACCCGCAGAAUAAAGCCCCGGCUAACUUCGUGCCAGCAGCCGCGGUAAUACGAAGGGGGCUAGCGUUGUUCGGAAUUACUGGGCGUAAAGGGGCGCGUAGGCGGCUCUGAUCGUUCGGAUGUGAAAGGGCCUGGGCUCAACCUGGGAACUGCAUCCGAUACGGCGGGGCUGGAGUGUGGGAGAGGUUGGUGGAAAUUCCCAGUGUAGAGGUGAAAUUCGUAGAUAUUGGGAAAGAACACCGGUUGGCGAAGGGCGGCCAACUGGACCACCAAACUGACGCUGAGGCGCGAAAAGCGUGGGGAGCAAACAGGAAUUAGAUACCCUGGUAGUCCACGCUGUAAACGAUGCGUGCUAGACGUUGGGAGACCUAGUCUCUCGGUGUCGUCGCUAACGCUUUUAAGCACGCCGCCUGGGGGAGUACGGCCGCAAGGUUUAAAACUCAAAGGAAUUGACGGGGGCCCGGCCACAAGCGGUGGAGCAUGUGGUUUAAUUCGAUGCAACGCGCAGAACCUUAACCCAGCCCUUGACAUGUCCGUCGCGGCUCGGGGAGACCUGAGCUUUCGGUUCGGCCGGACGGAACACAGGUGCUGCAUGGCUGUCGUCAGCUCCGUGUCGUGGAGAUGUUGGGUUAAGUCCCGCAACGAGCGCAACCCUCACCUUCAGUUGCCAGCGGUUUUGGCCGGGCCACUCUGAAGGAACUGCCGGUGACAAGCCGGAGGAAGGCGGGGAUGACGUCAAGUCCUCAUGGGCCCUUACGGGCUGGGCUACACACGUGCUACAAUGGCGGGUGACAGUGGGAUGCGAGCGCGCGAGCGCAAGCCGAUCCCCAAAAAAACCGUCUCAGUUCAGAUUGCACUCUGCAACUCGGGUGCAUGAAGGCGGAAUCGCUAGUAAUCGCGGAUCAGCAUGCCGCGGUGAAUACGUUCCCGGGCCCUUGUACACACCGCCCGUCACACCCAUGGGAGUUGGUUUUUACCUUAAGCCGGUGCGCAAAAACCGCAAGGAUGCAGCCGUCCACGGUAAGGUCAGCGACUGGGGUG